ensembl:lncRNA
UUGUAAGCUGUUUUUUUUUUUUUAAAUAUAGUAUUCCAUCUAUCAUCCAGGAAGAAUAUAACGAAGCAUAAUGAAAUUAAACUCAACUCAAUUUUUUUUGUAAACCAAGAUUAAAGGAGUGGUUUUCACUGUAGUAAAACCACAGCUGUCAAUGUAUUUGGGUCGCACCUCUUAUGCACUCUUAUUAAUGUAAGUAAGUUUCGUGUUGAUAAUGACUUGCAUUUUCCUGUUAGUAAGAAAACACAGCUGGCAGUCUGUUAUUGCCACAUCUUUGUCCACAGCAGUUCUAGUGAGCAUCAGCUUUCUGUUCGUUUCUUUUGUCAGCCAUGGACAAAACUGUGCUGCUCCUGUUGUGCCUGCAGGUUGUUCUGCUCAUCACUGCCUUUCCUUCAGACGCAGCUGGUCAAGUCGUAGUGAGAGGUCCAGAUCAGGUAAAAAGAUCCGCAACAGCAAUCAAAAAGGUGGCAAACAGGACGGUCAACCCACCAAAGCAAAAACUACAGAAGAGAAGGUGUUCCAGUAAACCUGGAGGGUGUGGCCCAAGGGGCCAGUAGUUUACCCAUCACACAUCGCUGCGGCCAGAAACUCCUUCCUGCAUUUUUCCAUUGACCUGGGUGCUUCAAUAAUCUACGCAUAUAAACUAUCACAACAACAGAUUCUCUGCAAACAUGUUGCAACAUUGCAGUUGGUGCAGAAGUCACCUCGCAUACAGACAGAUGCUAAAUUUGAACCAGCUCACUGGACUUCUCUGAGAAGUCAGAAAUUAAACACAAACAACAUUCAACCACUAAAACUAAUUUUGGAAGUAAAUAUAAGGCGGAGUAUUAGGGCCACAUUAAGAAAAUAAAAUAUUUUGAUCAAUUUGAGAAUAAAGUCAAAAUUUCACGAUUAAAAUGGAAAAUCUAUUUUGAGAAAAGCAUCAAAAUGUGGAGAUUACUUUUGUUGUUUCAAGACAAACUGCCACGUUUCUUAUACCUUUGUGUAGAUGAGUUAGCCAUUUCACAUUACACGAAUGCAACCAUCUGCACCAUCUUUUCAACAUCCUUUUACAUAUCACCAUAAUAUGUUUGUGUGCUAAAAAAGAAAUCAUUUCCUUCUUUGUUACUUAAGUCGAUUCUGAAGUACGAUUUCACUCAGAGGGUACAGCAACCAUGGCUGAUUGUCUUGAAACAAAAUAGAAUUAUAAUAUUAUUCUCAAAAUGAUGAAUGAUAUUGUUUUUUUAAUGCGGCCCUAAUACUACGUCGUAUAAAUAACCUUUGCAUCUUAAUUUAAAAAAAAAAAAAUCCUAAAGCACUUAACUGUUUUAAGAUAUAUUUUUUUGUAAAACUAUGAAUUUGAAAAAUCAUAGAUAACAACAAUAAUUAUUUUGAUAUUAAAUAAAUAAUUGCAUGUUGGAGGAUUAACCACAGGAACAUAAAAAGUGUUUUUGGUAAUUACCAGUAUUGUGUAUUUAGGGCAGCUGUGAGUACCUUGUGUGGAACCUUGUACUGGAUAGUAAUAAUAAUUUUGUUAAGUACUGCAUGUGCUGAGUAUAAACUGGACUAAUAAAAUAUUUAAAGCACUGCACAUUUGCGUGAAUUAGACUGA